rnacentral:rRNA from 1 species
AUUGAACGCUGGCGGCAGGCCUAACACAUGCAAGUCGAACGGUAACAGGAAGAAGCUUGCUUCUUUGCUGACGAGUGGCGGACGGGUGAGCAAUGUCUGGGAAACUGCCUGAUGGAGGGGGAUAACUACUGGAAACGGUAGCUAAUACCGCAUAACGUCGCAAGACCAAAGAGGGGGACCUUCGGGCCUUUUGCCAUCGGAUGUGCCCAGAUGGGAUUAGCUUGUUGGUGGGGUAACGGCUCACCAAGGCGACGAUCCCUAGCUGGUCUGAGAGGAUGACCAGCCACACUGGAACUGAGACACGGUCCAGACUCCUACGGGAGGCAGCAGUGGGGAAUAUUGCACAAUGGGCGCAAGCCUGAUGCAGCCAUGCCGCGUGUAUGAAGAAGGCCUUCGGGUUGUAAAGUACUUUCAGCGGGGAGGAAGGGAGUAAAGUUAAUACCUUUGCUCAUUGACGUUACCCGCAGAAGAAGCACCGGCUAACUCCGUG